CUCCGCGUCUCUGCCAAAGACCCUCGUUUACGCGGAGUGAAGUAUCGUAAGUUACUACAGAAUUCCGUUUACGCGGAAUGAAUCAUUAUUCUCGUCAACUUAAAUUAAGGAUCGUCGACUUCCCAAAGUCGAAGGACCUAGCAUCGCGUCGCUGGUCUUUGUUAUAUAUCUUAUUUGAUAGUACCAAAUAGAGUCAAGUAGAAGCAAAGCUGAUGAAGGACGGUAAAUAGCUC